rfam:Otolemur garnettii contig181163, whole genome shotgun sequence.
GUGGCUCAGGGGAGUAGGGCACCGGCCCCAUACGCCGGACGUGGCUGGUUCAAACCCAGCC